rnacentral:rRNA from 1 species
CCCGGUAAGACAUGCCGCGUGGAGGUAGAAGGCCCACGGGUCGUAAACUCCUUUUCUCAGAGAAGAAGCAAUGACGGUAUCUGAGGAAUAAGCAUCGGCUAACUCUGUGCCAGCAGCCGCGGUAAGACAGAGGAUGCAAGCGUUAUCCGGAAUGAUUGGGCGUAAAGCGUCUGUAGGUGGCUUUUUAAGUCUGCCGUCAAAUCCCAGGGCUUAACCCUGGACAGGCGGUGGAAACUACCAAGCUGGAGUACGGUAGGGGCAGAGGGAAUUUCCGGUGGAGCGGUGAAAUGCGUAGAGAUCGGAAAGAACACCAACGGCGAAGGCACUCUGCUGGGCCGACACUGACACUGAGAGACGAAAGCUAGGGGAGCAAAUGGGAUUAGAUACCCCCA